GAGGCAGAGAGAGAGAGAGAGAGAGGCCUUCCAUCUGCUGGUUCACUCCCCACAUGGCCGCAACAGCCGGACCUGGGCCCAGCCGCAGCCAGGAGCCAGCAGCUUCCGCCAGGUCUCCCACGCAGGUGCAGGACCCCAAGGACUCGGGCCGUCCUCCACUGCACUCCCAGGCAAAGCAGGGAGCUGGAUCGGGAGUGCAGCAGCUGGAGGCUUAACCUACCACAGCACCGACUACGGAAGCCAGCUGGACUCUGCCGGACGUUAAGGUCCUGGCCGUGCUUUAGAGAAACUAUUUUCCGCUCCCGUUCCGACGCAUGCCCCGCUGUCGUCUGUGACUGCGAUUCCUGGCUCAAUCCAGGCAGAUUUGGGGCCCAGAAAUUGGUCUACUUGAUCGGCUACCCCAGGGGGCGUUCCAAGAGGCUCUUUAAUCUUCUUCUGAGCUCUCGAAGCUCAGAGCAGUCAAAGAGCAUUACCCAACCCAGGACCCACCCCGGGGACCGCAGCAGGGGGAGCACUUUCUGGCCUCACUCUGGUCGGCGGUUCCGGACACCCCUAACGCUGUGGCAGUUCCCGUCCGAGCAGCGGAGCCUUCAGCGGGAGGGCGUCCUGUCACUCACGCCGGAUUGGCAGCUGCCAGACCCAGUCCUCACCGGCUGCGGCUCGUCGUCGGGCCGACUCCCGGGGGCGUCUCGCGUUUCUGUCGGGACCCUCGUCGCCGGGCUGCUGGGCGUGGUCAGCGAGGCGGCCCGGAGGCCCGAGCGCCUCUCCAUCUCGGGCGCCGCGCAGGCCCGUUCCUUCCAGCCGCCUCCGGGACGUGCCGAUCACCCGGGGCCGCGUCACACGACGGCGUCCUGGCCCGGGCCGGGGCCCAGCCCGCGCGGCUGGGAUUUCAGUCCCGGGAAGACCCGGAUCCGAGGCAGCCGCAGGGCAGACCCGCGUCUCCCAGCGAGGGGGCGGCUCGGCGCGCACCCGAGGGCGGGGAUCCCGGACCGAGCCUCAUAG
rnacentral:lncRNA from 1 species